GAUGAACGCUGGCGGCGUGCCUAAUACAUGCAAGUCGAGCGAACAGACGAGGAGCUUGCUCCUUUGACGUUAGCGGCGGACGGGUGAGUAACACGUGGGUAACCUACCUAUAAGACUGGGAUAACUUCGGGAAACCGGAGCUAAUACCGGAUAAUAUUUCGAACCGCAUGGUUCGAUAGUGAAAGAUGGCUCUGCUAUCACUUAUAGAUGGACCUGCGCCGUAUUAGCUAGUUGGUAAGGUAACGGCUUACCAAGGCAACGAUACGUAGCCGACCUGAGAGGCUGAUCGGCCACACUGGAACUGAGACACGGUCCAGACUCCUACGGGAGGCAGCAGUAGGGAAUCUUCCGCAAUGGGCGAAAGCCUGACGGAGCAACGCCGCGUGAGUGAUGAAGGUCUUCGGAUCGUAAAACUCUGUUAUUAGGGAAGAACAAACGUGUAAGUAACUGUGCACGUCUUGACGGUACCUAAUCAGAAAGCCACGGCUAACUACGUG
rnacentral:rRNA from 1 species